rnacentral:rRNA from 1 species
UACGUAGGGCGCGAGCGUUGUCCGGAUUUAUUGGGCGUAAAGGGCUUGUAGGCGGCUUGUCGCGUCGGAUGUGAAAACCCGUGGCUCAACUGCGGGCCUGCAUUCGAUACGGGCUGGCUAGAGUACGGCAGGGGAGACUGGAAUUCCUGGUGUAGCGGUGGAAUGCGCAGAUAUCAGGAGGAACACCGAUGGCGAAGGCAGGUCACUGGGCCGCAACUGACGCUGAGGAGCGAAAGCAUGGGGAGCAAACAGG